GGAAUGACUACUCAGUCCAGUAUUCUUGCCUGGGGAGUUCUAUGGACAGAGGAGCCUGUUCAAAAUGGGUCAUAAGUCAGCAGAGAGAACUCAGAACAUCAGCAACACAUUUGGCCCAGGAACUGCCAAUGAACGUACAGUGCGGUGGUGGUUCAAGAAGCUUUGCAAAGGAGAUGAGAGCCUUGCAGAUGAGGAGUGUAGUGGUGAGCCACUGGAAGUUGACAACAACCAGUUGAAAACCAUCAUCGAAGCUGAUCCUCUUACAACUACACGAGAGGUUAUUGAAGAAUUCAACAUUGACCUUUCCAUAGUUGUUUGGCAUUUGAAGCAAAUUGGAAAGGCAAAAAACUUGGUAAGUGGGUGCCUCGUGAGGUGACUGAAAAUAAAAAAAAAAAUCAUUGUUUUGAAGCGUUUUCUUAUUCUACGCAACAACGAUGAACUAUUUCUCUAUCAAAUUGUGACGUGCGACAAAAAGUGGAUUUGAUAUGACAACUGGUGACAACCAGCUCAGUGGUUGGACUGGGAAGUUCCAAAGCACUUCCCAUAGCCAAACUUGUACCAAAAAAUGGUCAUAGUCACUGUUUGGGCAUCUGCUGCUGAUCUGAUCCACUACAGCUUUCUGAAUCCCAGUGAAACCAUUGCCUAUGAGAAGUGUGCUCAGCAAAUUGAUGAGAUGCAUUGAAAACGUCAACGCUCUCAGCCGGCAUUGGUCAGCAGAAAGGGCCCAAGUCUUCUCCACGACAACACUUAACCACAGGUCACAUAACCAAUGCUUCAAAAGUUGAACAAAUUGGGCUACAAAGUUUUGCCUCAUCCAUGUGACCUCCCGCCUAUCGACUACCACUUCUUCAAGGAUCUCUUGACAACUUUCUGCAGGGAGAACAUUUCCAAAACCUGCAGGAGACAGAAAAUGCUUUCUAAGAGUUUGUUGAAUCCCAAAGCACGGGUUUUUAUGCCCUAGAAAUAAUUUCUCACUGGCAAAAAUGUGUUGACUUUAAUGGUUCCUAUUUUGAUUAAUAAAGAUGUGCUUGAGCUU